rnacentral:lncRNA from 1 species
AUGAAUCAAGGCAAAUUUGAAGGGGUCAAACAGGAGAUAGCAAGAAUGAACAUUGACAUUUUAGGAAUCAGCAACCUAAAAUGGAUUGGAAUGGGUGAAUUUAACUCAGACCAUCAUUCUUCUUGGCAAGAAUCCCUUAGAAGAAAUGGAGUAGCCAUCAUGGUCAACAAAAGAGUCCAAAAUGCAGUACUUGGAUGCAGUCUCAAAAACAACAGAAUGAUCUCUGUUCAUCUCCAAGGCAAACCAUUCAGUGUCACAGUAAUCCAAGUCUAUGCCCUGACCAGUAAUGCUGAAGAAGCUGACAUUGAACAGUUCUAUAAAGAAUGCUCAAACUACCGCACAAUUGCACUCAUCUCACAUGCUAGUAAAGUAAUGCUCAAAAUUCUCCAAGCCAGGCUUCAGCAAUACUUGAACCGUGAACUUCCAGAUGUUCAAGCUGGUUUUAGAAAAGGCAGAGGAACCAGAGAUCAAAUUGCCAACAUCCGCUGGAUCAUCGAAAAAGCAAGAGAGUUCCAGAAAAACAUCUAUUUCUGCUUUAUUGACUAUGCCAAAGCCUUUAACUGUGUGGAUCACAAGAAACUGUGGAAAAUUCUUCAAGAGAUGGGAAUCCCAGACCACCUGACCUGCCUCUUGAGAAAUCUGUAUGCCAGUCAGGAAGCAACAGUUAGAACUGGAGAUGGAACAACAGACUGGUUCCAAAUAAGAAAAGGAGUACGUCAAGGCUGUAUAAUGUCACCCUGCUUAUUUAACUUCUAUGCAGAGUACAUCAUGAGAAACACUGGACUGGAAGAAACACAAGCUAGAAUCAAGAUUGCAGGGAGAAAUAUCAAUCACCUCAGAUAUGCUGGUGACACCACCCUUAUGGCAGAAAGUGAAGAGGAACUAAAAAGCCUCUUGAUGAAAGUAAAAGAGGAGAGUGAAAAUGUUGGCUUAAAGCUCAACAUUCAGAAAACGAAGAUCAUGGCAUCUGGUCCCAUCACUUCAUGGGAAAUAGAUGGGGAAACAGUGGAAACAGUGUCAGACUUCAUUUUGGGGGGCUCCAAAAUCACUGCAGAUGGUGAUUGCAGCCAUGAAAUUAAAAGACGCUUACUCUUUGGAAGAAAAAUUAUGACCAAUCUAGAUAGCAUAUUGAAAAGCAGAGACAUUACUUUGCCGACUAAGGUCUGUCUAGUCAAGGCUAUGGUUUUUCCAGUGGUCUUGUAUGGAUGUGAGAGUUGA